rnacentral:rRNA from 1 species
UACAGAGGAUGCAAGCGUUAUCCGGAAUGAUUGGGCGUAAAGCGUCUGUAGGUGGCUUUUUAAGUCCGCCGUCAAAUCCCAGGGCUCAACUCUGGACAGGCGGUGGAAACUACCAAGCUGGAGUACGGUAGGGGCAGAGGGAAUUUCCGGUGGAGCGGUGAAAUGCGCAGAGAUCGGAAGGAACACCGAUGGCGAAAGCAGCGCGCUGGACCUUUACUGACGCUGAGGCGCGAAAGCCAGGGGAGCAAACGGG